rnacentral:lncRNA from 1 species
GCGCCGCUCCUUGUCCCCACCCCCACCUUCAAAUAUGGGUGGUGCAUUGGUGGGUCCCUACUUGUCCACCGUAGUUUUCGGUGGUGGCCCCUCCAAUCAAUCAAUCAUUUUUUUUUUAAAAAAAAAAAAAAAGGAAAAACAAAACAAAGCAAGCACUUUGCUUAUCUUCUUCCUGUGAAAAAGAAAAUGGAACCUACAAAUUAUAAAUCCUUCUAAACCUCAAGUAAUAAGAGCAACUACUACUCGCGAGACAAAAAGCCUUGCAAUAGCAUCAUUCUCCAUAUUUCACCAUCAAUGUCACAGUUAUUCUUCUUCUUCUUCUAACGUUCUUUCAGAGAGAACCAUUUCUUGAAGUUCUUUUCUUUUUCUUUUUCUUGAUUUACCGUCACCGCAAUGUUACAACUGUCCGUUUUCAGAAUUCGGGUCUCGGCUACAUCAUCAUUCCCGCCACUGCGAAAACGUCAGGUCGCCUAGAGUUUUCAAUAAAACCCGAAAGGUGUGUCUGGUCUCUUUGAUUUGCGUGAAUUGUGAUGGGACAUGUUUGACAUUGAAAACGUUGUAAUAGCCAUUUGUUGGACUAUUUUCAUUUAAAUCACGUAAAGUUUGAAGAACCUAUUAUAAAAUUAAUGAUUUAAUAUUAUACAUGUGAUUGAUUAGUAGUACGUCUAUAAUAUAAUAAUUAAAAAUGAUAAUUUUUUUUGAGCUGGUUGUAUGGUAAUGUCAUGCAUUGGGUAUAGAAUAUAUUUCAAUAUAAAUAUUUUAUUUUCAUGUAGAUUAUAAAAUGCUAAAUUGACUUUUUAAUGUCUCAUUUUUAAUUAUUACUUUCUCAUUUUUUUAUAAUUGCUUAAUUUUUUAAUCAAUGUCUACUUAUGCCAAUUAGGC